UACGUAGGUGGCAAGCGUUGUCCGGAUUUAUUGGGCGUAAAGGGCGCGUAGGCGGCUCGGCACGUCCGUUGUGAAAUCGCCCGGCUCAACUGGGCGGGGUCAGCGGAUACGGUCGAGCUUGAGCAAGCUAGGGGGUAAUGGAAUUCCCGGUGUAGUGGUGGAAUGCGUAGAUAUCGGGAGGAACACCAGUGGCGAAGGCGGUUACCUGGGGCUUUGCUGACGCUGAUGCGCGAAAGCGUGGGGAGCGAUCCGG
rnacentral:rRNA from 1 species